UUUAAACAGCCGCAAUGAAAGCCAAAAAAAAAAAUGCAAAAAAAAAACAUCCACAACAGUAAGAAAGUAACUACUACUUUAUAAGAUUAAUAGUUUUAUCUGUUAGAUAGUUUCUACGUCAAGAAUACGAGUUGAGGGUAUUUUUAAAAAAU
rnacentral:ribozyme from 1 species